CAGGAAGUAGUUUAAUUAGAACGUCAGCUUUCCGUGCUCAUAGUGAGGAGGAUAAGCCUCUUCUUGA
rnacentral:tRNA from 1 species